UCCUCUUCGUUAUCAGUCCCGAACUCAUCAGACGAGCUCGAGACUACAUUGACUGGCUUCUUGGAAGUGGCCACCGAUGCAUGCUCAGGAGAAGAGCCCUCGGGUAGUGGGACCUCUACUGACAUAUGAGUGUGGGAGGGUUCGUACUCACUCCCUGUAUUUGCUUUCCUCCAUGUUUUUGCACCAUUGUCUGCAAAGAAUAAACAUCAAAUGUUGUUAGUAGAAGCACAUAAGGAGAAACAGAUAGUUCGAGUUUCAUUUCAAAGUUUCAAAAAUUAUGUUGCAGACAGG
rnacentral:lncRNA from 1 species